AGCGAACGCUGGCGGCAGGCCUAACACAUGCAAGUCGAACGAACCUUUCGGGGUUAGUGGCGGACGGGUGAGUAACACGUGGGAACGUGCCUUUAGGUUCGGAAUAACUCAGGGAAACUUGUGCUAAUACCGAAUGUGCCCUUCGGGGGGAAGAUUAAUCGCCUUUAGAGCGGCCCGCGUCUGAUUAGCUAGUUGGUUGAGGUAAUGGCUCACCAAGGCGACGAUCAGUAGCUGGUCUGAGAGGAUGAUCAGCCACAUUGGGACUGAGACACGGCCCAAACUCCUACGGGAGGCAGCAGUGGGGAAUCUUGCGCAAUGGGCGAAAGCCUGACGCAGCCAUGCCGCGUGAAUGAUGAAGGUCUUAGGAUUGUAAAAUUCUUUCACCGGGGACGAUAAUGACGGUACCCGGAGAAGAAGCCCCGGCUAACUUCGUG
rnacentral:rRNA from 1 species